AUGGUGGCGUCGAUGGGUGUGGAAGAGUGUGUGAAGACGCUGCAGAGCACCGCUGAGGAGCUUGUCAGCAGGACGAGCUGCUCCCGCUGCUGCUUGACAACCCAGCCGGAUCUGCCUCGACAGGUUCGAGCCCUCCGUCACCGGCCCCAUGCACAUCUGAAUGACUGGCAAAUGUCCUCGCCUUCUCCUCUUCUUUUGUUUCUACCAAAUUCUAAAGUUGUUGGGAAGGUGAUCAAUGUGAACAAGAUGGUCAGGGCCAGAUGGAGAGUGGAGAUCCUAAUAGCGGACCAGAGGCCGACUUGGCAAGAUCAGGGAGCAGCUGGACCACGACAAGGACGUCGGCGGCGGCUUCUCCACCAUGUGGGAUUAUUCUUUGACCUUUCACAAUUCCUCCAGGCGUCCAUAACAUCAAGCAUAAUUUUGUACAAUGGAGAGCUAUCCAUGACAUGUAUGGGAGCAAGGGAACCGGAGGAUGGUACAACCUUGGACUGGCGCGAGGGGAGCCAGGAGGCGGGGUCGUGGCCGUACAUGGCGCCCUGCUGCGUCUCUUUCGGCCCCAUCAUCGAGCUGCUCAACUCCAGGGUGCUCUCCAAGCACUUCAGCCCCGCCUACCGCAAGUACGGCUCGCCCAAGAACCCGCUGCUUGGAUCCUUGUUGGGGUGGACGAGUUACCUCCUUCUUGGGAACAUGUUGCCACGCCAAACUUCGGGAAAAGUCUCUUUGUUUGCUGAGACGAAUUUUGUUUUCCUCCAGGUCCCAUUGAACCAGGUUGAGAAGUGGAACAAGCAGAGGGUGAAUUUUGCAGGAGGGGAAUUUGAAGGAUGUGUGGCUAGAGGAGGAUUUGAGGUUUCAAGGGGAUUGGGUGGAAAAGGGGGAUUCACCAAAUCCCCUGGAAUCCUCUCCCCCCAAAACCUCCACAAUCCCUUGCUAUCAAACAAGGCCCGAGGCCUCGUUUCACAGGGGAGGUUUUGCAGCCCCGGAGUGGAGGGGGGAUUUCUGGGGAUUUUGAACCCUGGGAGGAUAUUCCCCUCCAAAACUCCCCAAACCUCCUCCACCAAACAAGGCCUGAAGAGGAGUUGUGGCAACGCGGCGGAGAUUGCGCCAGUACAGGCUGUAGUGGCACGUCGGGAGCAUGGUGCAGCCGUAGCACACCAGCUGCAGCGAGGGGAACCGUGGGCGGUCGGCGAAGGUAACGUCGUGGUCCAUGAAGCACUACCUCGUGGUCACGCCGAGGACACGACCAUGGUGUGCCGCGUGAGCCGAGGCGCAUGGAGAAGACCGGGCUGCGGUGACAGUCUUCAUGCCGUUGGGACUUGGAAGGAACUGUUCUAUUCGGUGGCUUGUUUGGUUGUGUCGGGCAUACGUAUACCACGCGCAUGGCCAAAAAAACGCCACGAUCUACUCGCCCGCCCAAUCUUCUUACCCGCCCCAUCUGGUCGCCCGAUCACGGUAGUUCCAACUGGCCUAUCACCGCCGCCGCGGAUCGCCUCCAUACGAACCCCGCCCGACGCCGCCCUCGCCAUCCCAACUUCGUCCGUGGCCGCCUCGCACCGUCCAUCCCAACGUCGUCCGUACCCGCCUCUCAAUGUUCGUCACAACGUCGUCCGUCGCCGCCUGUCACCGUCAUCGUCCGUCGCUGCCUGUCACCGUCGUCGUCCGUCGCCCCUUUCACCGUUGUCCUCCGUCACCGCCCUCGCCGUCCCAACAUCGUCCGGGGCCGCCUCUCACCGUCGACGUCCGACGCCGCAUUCGCAUGACGGUCGCCCCCACCGCGAAUCCUGCCAAGCAUCUGGCCGGUUGAUCGUUGUGCACGUCACCGCCUGA
rnacentral:rRNA from 1 species